rnacentral:rRNA from 1 species
UAUAAGACUGGGAUAACUUCGGGAAACCGGAGCUAAUGCCGGAUAACAUUUGGAACCGCAUGGUUCUAAAGUAAAAGAUGGUUUUGCUAUCACUUAUAGAUGGACCCGCGCUGUAUUAGCUAGUUGGUAAGGUAACGGCUUACCAAGGCAACGAUACGUAGCCGACCUGAGAGGGUGAUCGGCCACACUGGAACUGAGACACGGUCCAGACUCCUACGGGAGGCAGCAGUAGGGAAUCUUCCGCAAUGGACGAAAGUCUGACGGAGCAACGCCGCGUGAGUGAUGAAGGUUUUCGGAUCGUAAAACUCUGUUAUUAGGGAAGAACAAAUGUGUAAGUAACUGUGCACAUCUUGACGGUACCUAAUCAGAAAGCCACGGCUAACUACGUGCCAGCAGCCGCGGUAAUACGUAGGUGGCAAGCGUUAUCCGGAAUUAUUGGGCGUAAAGCGCGCGUAGGCGGUUUCUUAAGUCUGAUGUGAAAGCCCACGGCUCAACCGUGGAGGGUCAUUGGAAACUGGGAAACUUGAGUACAGAAGAGGAAAGUGGAAUUCCAUGUGUAGCGGUGAAAUGCGCAGAGAUAUGGAGGAACACCAGUGGCGAAGGCGACUUUCUGGUCUGUAACUGACGCUGAUGUGCGAAAGCGUGGGGAUCAAACAGGAUUAGAUACCCUGGUAGUCCACGCCGUAAACGAUGAGUGCUAAGUGUUAGGGGGUUUCCGCCCCUUAGUGCUGCAGCUAACGCAUUAAGCACUCCGCCUGGGGAGUACGACCGCAAGGUUGAAACUCAGAG